rnacentral:tRNA from 1 species
CGGGGCGUAGCUCAGCCUGGUAGAGCGUCUGGUUUGGGACCAGAAGGUCGCACGUUCGACUCGUGUCGCCCCGAC